UACCUUAUCUAAACAAACAAUUUGCCUCGAAUCUAUGAAAAUCAAACCUAAAUGUAUCGCAAUUUCAAAACUAACUAAUAAGAACAUUUAUCACCACAUACCAUUUCAGUUGCAUAAAAUCUUAACUAGAAUAAUUUCCACACGGAUUUUCCUUAUCCAAAAGAGCAUAUUCUCUAAUUUAUAUGAGGCAAUAUCACAGUGACAAACCAUUCAAGCAAAACCAUUAAACGUUUCUCUAGCAAAAGCAGCAGAUCACUUCAUCAAUCAACAAUGGCUGGGGCUCAAGCAAUCACCUACCUUUCAGACGUGAAGGCACACAAAAACAGUUGGCGUGUGCAGACCAAAAUCCUUCAUACCUGGAAGGGAUAUACGGGAACAUCAGGAGAGAGCUUAGAAAUGGUGUUGGCAGACCAACAGGUACUACUUUUGCUAAUGUCCUCACGCGGAUUAUGAAAAAACUCUAAUAGAGAGUAACAAGGUACGUAGUCAAUUGGCUGCAAAAUUGGCUAAAUUGAAACAACUGCAGAUGAAGUUGAAUGGUCGGGAGCAGCAGGCUGUUGGAAUUUCCAUAGAAAAUCUAAAAGAGUCAACAGAGCUCUGGAGAAAGAAAAUAACGAGCAUAAGGUGUAUUUUGUACAAUUUUUUUUUUAAGCAAGGAAUUUAGCAUUUUUAGUUUUCCUCUUGAGUUUAGAACUCUGACACUUACAUUUAUUUUUUGUUGUGUAUAAGUGUAUUUGAAACAAAGUGAAUUAGAGGCUGCUUUGGAGGCAAGCCAGAGGUCAACAAGUAAGAAACUCUUCCCAGAGGGUACAAAGGCUCUUAGUAGACAUCUUAAUGCAAACUUUUGAUUCAUUUAGCCCUUUAGCCAAAAGAAACAUUUUUAUAAUGCAAAAAUUAAGUAUGGAACAAGUAUUAAGGUCCCUUCUGCUUUUCCUCAUGUACAAUUAGGAAAAGAUGAUAUGGAGAUAUCUUUGUAGAGGCUAGAAAAGGAGUGGAGGAAGCAAGAAGAGAAAAGGAUAAGAAAUGAAAGAACUAAAGCGGCUCAAAAACACCAGUUAGAAAAGGAAACUGAGGAGUCUAAGAAAAUGGAUGAAGAAAGUACAUUGAUUGAAGGAAUCCGCCAGAACAAUUAAUAUCAAAGGUCGCAGAUACUAAUUUUAGAAAAAGCUCUUAGGCAGACAAUGGCUAAUCAGGAGGAAUUCAAGUCAAGCAACGACCAACGACCAUGAAAUUUGGAAGUCAAAAGGGUAUAAUACUUCCUGAUGUAUCAAAUCAGUUAUAGAAGUUACUGAAUUGGAAUUCAGUUUAUGUAGGAACUAGACGAUCCUCUCAUUUUUAUCCAUGAGAAGAAGAUCUCAAGCAUCAACUCUAUAGUGAAAGUUUUGGAGUUGGUUGAAGGAAUGUCUGUUUUAUUACCAUUGUAAAUUUAGAAUCUUUUUCUCAUGAAAAGUAUUGUAAAAAGGCGUCUAAUAUGGUUUUCCCCAUUUGUUGUCCAAAUAAAAAAAACUUACAGAAACUAACACCACUGUUGAUUGUUUCACAAGUACCAAUUUGUGAAGCUUCUUAUGGCAGCAUAUGUUGUCUUUGUUAUGUUUUCUUUUCACUUUGAUUGUGUUUUGAAUAAUGUUUUGCAAUUUGCAAUGAAGUUUUCCACUUGUUUUGUUUACCAUAUGAAUUUUUAUUUAAUCUCAAUAUAAAUCGGUAUGAAAAAAAAUAUGCAAUGCACUCAGUUAUAACAGCAACUUCAGUCAAGAUAUUU